UCUCUCUCUUACACUAAAUGCAUCACCAACACUUGCAUCCUCUUUCUCUCUAAAUUCUCUAUAUCAUUUAAUGUGUUUCAAGUUAGUUUAGUCAUAAAUUCAUCACCACAAGCAUCAAAUCAUAUCAAAAAUGGAAAGCUUAAAGUGCAAGAAAACUUGAUUUUUAGCUAAUUUCGGAUUUCUAGCUUCGGUAGUUUUGGCCGUGAUCAUUGAAGCUUUCGGGGUAAUUGUGGCUCGUUGAAUACUUAUAAAUCAACUAUAACUUGACGAUACGAGGCAAAGAUGAACAGGUGAAUCAAAGACAUGUUGGAUUAUAAUUGAUUGUUUGCAUGUUAAGAUUGGACUUGGACUUUACUGUGGGUCCGUGAUUCAUUGUCCCUGCUUAUGGGUUAUGCUUAGGAUCAUAUACCAUCUUUUGUAUUAUAUUUUGUAAAUGUUUGAUGGUCGUGCUCCUUAUGUAUUUUUGUAUAGUCACAGAUUUGUAAUUGAUUAACUUGUAUGGAUUCCCAAUUCUUUUAAUGCAUCUAGAUUUGUCUCUACUUAA